GACGAACGCUGGCGGCGUGCUUAACACAUGCAAGUCGAACGGAAAGGCCCUGCUUUUGUUGGGUGCUCGAGUGGCGAACGGGUGAGUAACACGUGAGUAACCUGCCCUUGACUUUGGGAUAACUUCAGGAAACUGGGGCUAAUACCGGAUAGGAGCUCCUGCUGCAUGGUGGGGGUUGGAAAGUUUCGGCGGUUGGGGAUGGACUCGCGGCUUAUCAGCUUGUUGGUGGGGUAGUGGCUUACCAAGGCUUUGAAGGGUAGCCGGCCUGAGAGGGUGACCGGCCACAAUGGGACUGAGAUACGGCGCAGACUCCUACGGGAGGCAGCAGUGGGGAAUAUUGCACAAUGGGCGGAAGCCUGAGGCAGCAACGCCGCGUGCGGGAUGACGGCCUUCGGGGGGUAAACAGCUUUCGCCUGUGACGAAGAGGGAGUGACGGUAAUGGGUAAAGAAGCACCGGCUAACUACGUG
rnacentral:rRNA from 1 species